rnacentral:piRNA from 1 species
UAAGUGAAAGUUGGGGAUGUGGUACAGA